rnacentral:rRNA from 1 species
CGUCAGAGAGGGUGAGAAUCCCGUCUGGGAUGGGGUGUCCGCGCCCGUGUGAAGCUCCUUCGACGAGUCGAGUUGUUUGGGAAUGCAGCUCUAAAUGGGUGGUAAAUUUCAUCUAAAGCUAAAUACUGGCCGGAGACCGAUAGCGCACAAGUAGAGUGAUCGAAAGAUGAAAAGCACUUUGAAAAGAGAGUUAAAAAGCACGUGAAAUUGUUGAAAGGGAAGCGCUUGCGACCAGACUCGCCUCCAGGGUUCAGCCGGCAUUCGUGCCGGUGUACUUCCCUGGGGGCGGGCCAGCGUCGGUUUGGGCGGCCGGUCAAAGGCUCCCGGAAUGUAGUGCCCUCCGGGGCACCUUAUAGCCGGGAGUGCAAUGCGGCCUAGCCUGGACCGAGGAACGCGCUUCGACACGGACGCUGGCAUAAUGGUCGUAAACGACCCGUCUUGAAACACGGACCAAGGAGUCUAACAUCUACGCGAGUGUUCGGGUGUCAAACCCGUACGCGCAGUGAAAGCGAACGGAGGUGGGAGCCCCCUCGUGGGGCGCACCAUCGACCGAUCCUGAUGUCUUCGGAUGGAUUUGAGUAAGAGCGUAAAUGUGGGGACCCGAAAGAUGGUGAACUAUGCCUGAAUAGGGCGAAGCCAGAGGAAACUCUGGUGGAGGCUCGCAGCGGUUCUGACGUGCAAAUCGAUCGUCAAAUUUGGGUAUAGGGGCGAAAGACUAAUCGAACCAUCUAGUAGCUAGGUUCCUGCCGAAGUUUCCCUCAGGAUAGCAGUAACGCGAAUUCAGUUUUAUGAGGUAAAGCGAAUGAUUAGAGGCAUUGGGGUUGAAACAACCUUAACCUAUUCUCAAACUUUAAAUAUGUAAGAAGCCCUUGUUGCUUAGUUGAACGUGGGCAUUAGAAUGGAGCGUUAUUAGUGGGCCAUUUUUGGUAAGCAGAACUGGCGAUGCGGGAUGAACCGAACGCGAGGUUAAGGUGCCGGAAUGCACGCUCAUCAGACACCACAAAAGGUGUUAGUUCAUCUAGACAGCCCGACGGUGGCCAUGGAAGUCGGAAUCCGCUAAGGAGUGUGUAACAACUCACGGGCCGAAUGAACUAGCCCUGAAAAUGGAUGGCGCUCAAGCGUGUUACCCAUACCUCGCCGCCGGGGUAGAAACGAUGCCCCGGCGAGUAGGCAGGCGUGGAUGGUCCGUGACGAAGCCU